UUUUAGCCCCGAUAGCAGUGAAAAUCCUUUUAUUUUUUCUUUAAAAAUAAAAGAUUGUAACGAAUAGCGGGAUUAGCU
rnacentral:sRNA from 1 species